GUAGGUGAACCUGCGGAAGGAUCAUUAACACGUGUAUCCACGUAUAAACCUUCGUGCACUCCUUCUGUUCUCGGGCGUAUCCGCUUCUCGAAAGGGCAGCGGUGUCGUCCUGUCUCUGACGCUCCGCAAGGGGUUUCAUUGACGCAACUUUUAACCCUUAUUACUAAUUUGUCUAAUCUCUGUUCUCAGCGAAAGCUGUUAACAAUCUAUUUAACUAUAGAACAACUCUUAGCAACGGAUAUCUUGGUUCUC
rnacentral:misc_RNA from 1 species